GCUCAGAUUGCACGCUGGCGGCAGGCCUAACACAUGCAAGUCGAGCGGUAGCACAGAGAGCUUGCUCUCGGGUGACGAGCGGCGGACGGGUGAGUAAUGUCUGGGAAACUGCCUGAUGGAGGGGGAUAACUACUGGAAACGGUAGCUAAUACCGCAUAACGUCGCAAGACCAAAGUGGGGGACCUUCGGGCCUCAUGCCAUCAGAUGUGCCCAGAUGGGAUUAGCUAGUAGGUGGGGUAACGGCUCACCUAGGCGACGAUCCCUAGCUGGUCUGAGAGGAUGACCAGCCACACUGGAACUGAGACACGGUCCAGACUCCUACGGGAGGCAGCAGUGGGGAAUAUUGCACAAUGGGCGCAAGCCUGAUGCAGCCAUGCCGCGUGUGUGAAGAAGGCCUUCGGGUUGUAAAGCACUUUCAGCGGGGAGGAAGGCGUUAAGGUUAAUAACCUUGGCGAUUGACGUUACCCGCAGAAGAAGCACCGGCUAACUCCGUGCCAGCAGCCGCGGUAAUACGGAGGGUGCAAGCGUUAAUCGGAAUUACUGGGCGUAAAGCGCACGCAGGCGGUCUGUCAAGUCGGAUGUGAAAUCCCCGGGCUCAACCUGGGAACUGCAUUCGAAACUGGCAGGCUAGAGUCUUGUAGAGGGGGGUAGAAUUCCAGGUGUAGCGGUGAAAUGCGUAGAGAUCUGGAGGAAUACCGGUGGCGAAGGCGGCCCCCUGGACAAAGACUGACGCUCAGGUGCGAAAGCGUGGGGAGCAAACAGGAUUAGAUACCCUGGUAGUCCACGCCGUAAACGAUGUCGAUUUGGAGGUUGUGCCCUUGAGGCGUGGCUUCCGGAGCUAACGCGUUAAAUCGACCGCCUGGGGAGUACGGCCGCAAGGUUAAAACUCAAAUGAAUUGACGGGGGCCCGCACAAGCGGUGGAGCAUGUGGUUUAAUUCGAUGCAACGCGAAGAACCUUACCUGGUCUUGACAUCCACAGAACUUUCCAGAGAUGGAUUGGUGCCUUCGGGAACUGUGAGACAGGUGCUGCAUGGCUGUCGUCAGCUCGUGUUGUGAAAUGUUGGGUUAAGUCCCGCAACGAGCGCAACCCUUAUCCUUUGUUGCCAGCGGUCCGGCCGGGAACUCAAAGGAGACUGCCAGUGAUAAACUGGAGGAAGGUGGGGAUGACGUCAAGUCAUCAUGGCCCUUACGACCAGGGCUACACACGUGCUACAAUGGCAUAUACAAAGAGAAGCGACCUCGCGAGAGCAAGCGGACCUCAUAAAGUAUGUCGUAGUCCGGAUUGGAGUCUGCAACUCGACUCCAUGAAGUCGGAAUCGCUAGUAAUCGUAGAUCAGAAUGCUACGGUGAAUACGUUCCCGGGCCUUGUACACACCGCCCGUCACACCAUGGGAGUGGGUUGCAAAAGAAGUAGGUAGCUUAACCUUCGGGAGGGCGCUUACCACUUUGUGAUU
rnacentral:rRNA from 1 species